rnacentral:rRNA from 1 species
UACGAAGGGGGCUAGCGUUGUUCGGAUUUACUGGGCGUAAAGCGCACGUAGGCGGAUUGUUAAGUCGGGGGUGAAAUCCUGGAGCUCAACUCCAGAAUUGCCUUCGAUACUGGCUUUCUAGAGGCUGGAAGAGGUUAGUGGAAUUCCCAGUGUAGAGGUGAAAUUCGUAGAUAUUGGGAAGAACACCAGUGGCGAAGGCGGCGACCUGGGUCGAUACUGACGCUGAGGCGCGAAAGCGUGGGGAGCGAACAGG